rnacentral:rRNA from 1 species
AGCGAACGCUGGCGGCAGGCCUAACACAUGCAAGUCGAACGAUCCUUCGGGAUAGUGGCGGACGGGUGAGUAACACGUGGGAACGUACCUUUUGGUUCGGAAUAACUCAGGGAAACUUGAGCUAAUACCGGAUAAGCCCUUAGGGGGAAAGAAUUUCGCCGAAAGAGCGGCCCGCGUUAGAUUAGCUAGUUGGUGGGGUAAAGGCCCACCAAGGCUACGAUCUAUAGCUGGUCUGAGAGGAUGAUCAGCCACACUGGGACUGAGACACGGCCCAGACUCCUACGGGAGGCAGCAGUGGGGAAUCUUGCGCAAUGGGCGAAAGCCUGACGCAGCCAUGCCGCGUGAAUGAUGAAGGUCUUAGGAUUGUAAAAUUCUUUUACCAGGGAUGAUAAUGACGGUACCUGGAGAAAAAGCCCCGGCUAACUUCGUGCCAGCAGCCGCGGUAA